rfam:Sorghum chlorotic spot virus genomic RNA 1 for 145-kDa protein, 59-kDa readthrough protein, 37-kDa movement protein, complete and partial cds.
GGAUGUGGUGGGUUGCCACAGCUGCUAUGACACAGCAGUUAAGAGGGGUUCGACUCCCCCCCUGAACCGGAGGGUUAUCCGGCCCA